CUGACGAGGGUCAACCCGGACCGAAAUAUAUUUUCAAUAAAUGUGGAACUAACAUCUACUUUUUUUUCUCUUCAUAGGUUUGGUCUAUCACCAUCACAUUACAUUAAUAACUUCAAUGGGACAACAAUGACUUUAGAAAGGGGUGCUGUUAGCCGUAAUCAACUAUGUCCGAAACAAUGUAAAACCACUGAGAUAGAAGACACAGGAUCGGAAACUGUCUGCCUAAUCUGGCAGAUUCAUGGAGGUCGCAAUAAUUGAAGCUUAAUGUUCAAUGAUGAAUGGAUCGCUGUGGGGUUGAAAAAGGAUGACUAAGAGGCCCUCCUGGGAAUGGAAGGAAUAUAUGGCUUGCUCUCAUGCACUUCCGGUAGACCUCAGAGUUCACAGAUUCACAAAUUAAAAGAAGAAUGAAGUUACAAAUGGUUUCUAUCAAUUGAGCUUUAUACAGGGGCAUUGAAUAUAAUGAAGUAUAACAUUAACAUGUUAUUGAAGAACGAAUCAUAGAUGAUAUUUCACAGAUGGACUUUUCAAAUAUACAUUUCUAUUUUUUUUGUUGCAAUUUUUGGAUCCACAAAUAUAUUAACUAAUAAACCAACAAACAGGCAACACGUGUUGUUGUUCAAACAAUCUAUAUAACUAACAACUGCAGCAGCUAGUGAAAUUGUGACCAAGUUAAUAGAAAUGUAUAAAUAGAUGUUGUGCAUUUCUCGUUUAGUUUGAUAGUUUGCUAAUUAAAGUUAACUUGCAAAUAAUUAAUCUUAAGAUCCGUCAGAGUAGUUCUCGUUUA